AAAUUGAAGAGUUUGAUCAUGGCUCAGAUUGAACGCUGGCGGCAGGCCUAACACAUGCAAGUCGAACGGUAACAGGAAGCAGCUUGCUGCUUCGCUGACGAGUGGCGGACGGGUGAGUAAUGUCUGGGAAACUGCCUGAUGGAGGGGGAUAACUACUGGAAACGGUAGCUAAUACCGCAUAACGUCGCAAGACCAAAGAGGGGGACCUUCGGGCCU
rnacentral:rRNA from 2 species